rnacentral:rRNA from 1 species
UACGUAGGGUGCGAGCGUUAAUCGGAAUUACUGGGCGUAAAGCGUGCGCAGGCGGUUUUGUAAGUCAGAUGUGAAAUCCCCGGGCUUAACCUGGGAACUGCGUUUGAAACUACAAGGCUAGAGUGUGGCAGAGGGGGGUGGAAUUCCACGUGUAGCAGUGAGAUGCGUAGAGAUGUGGAGGAACACCGAUGGCGAAGGCAGCCCCCUGGGUUAACACUGACGCUCAGGCACGAAAGCGUGGGGAGCGAACAGG